UACGGGGGGGGUAAGCGUUGUUCGGAAUUACUGGGCGUAAAGGGCUCGUAGGCGGCCAACUAAGUCAGACGUGAAAUCCCUCAGCUUAACUGGGGAACUGCGUCUGAUACUGGAUGGCUUGGAUUCGGGAGAGGAAUGCGGAAUUCCAGGUGUAGCGGUGAAAUGCGUAGAUAUCUGGAGGAACACCGACGGCGUAGGCAGCGCCCUGGCCGUUUUACCUGACGCUGAAGCACGAAAGCUGGGGGAGCGAACAGG
rnacentral:rRNA from 1 species